GAUGAACGCUGGCGGCGUGCCUAAUACAUGCAAGUCGAGCGGUAAGGCUCCUGCAGUUUGCUUAAUCGUAUAAGCUCCACCUAGGCUAGGUGAAGUUGAUUGAGUAAAGUGCUGGAGUACACGAGCGGCGGACGGCUGAGUAACACGUAGGAACGUACCCCAAACUGAGGGAUAACUGCUCGAAAGAGUAGCUAAUACCGCAUGUGCUCUUCGGAGUAAAGCUACGGCGGUUGGGAACGGCCUGCGUAAGAUUAGAUAGUUGGUGAGGUAAUGGCUCACCAAGUCGACGAUCUUUAGCUGGUCUGAGAGGAUGAUCAGCCAGACUGGGACUGAGAACGGCCCAGACUCCUACGGGAGGCAGCAGUAGGGAAUUUUCCACAAUGGGGGCAACCCUGAUGGAGCAACGCCGCGUGCAGGAUGAAGGCCUUAGGGUUGUAAACUGUCUUUUCUCUGUGACGAAUAUGACGGUAGCAGAGGAAUAAGG
rnacentral:rRNA from 1 species